UCCUUCUGAUCAGCCACAUCCAAUUUCCAUAUCAAGCACUUCUCCCCCUUUUUAGUCAAAAUUGACCAAAGGUGACCAAUCAGACAAAAUAAAUGUCUAUUAGUCUAGCAGAGAAAGUUUAAAACAGAUGUUAUAACAUUAAGCAUGUUAAAACAAAAAAUCAGGAAGUACACAACAUCAUUAUACACAGCAGAAAGCUGAGACAAUGAACAAAUUCAAGGAACUCAUUAAGAGCCCUUAAUAUUACAUAACAGGCAUCAUGAGGACUGCCACAAAAAAC
rnacentral:lncRNA from 1 species